UCCGUCAGCAUUUUGAUCUGCAGAGGAAAGAGAGGCAGUGUCAGAACCCCACACUUUGCAGGAAGCAGAGAGGAGGGAAAUCACAUUCCGGAGAGAGAAAUGAAACAGCAAAAAAAAGCCGAAGAGCUAUCAAGGAUGAAAAAGCACCAGCUGAAAAGUACCCAAGGAUUUUGCCUGCAAGAUGCUGACCACACUCCCAAGGAGCACAAGUGGCACCAGUGGAGAUGACACACCAGAAUUGGAUGGUUCACGGUAUAACAUAAUUGAUAUGCUUGAACAGUUCUACACACAGAGAGUGUAAAUGCACAAUACAGCAGUAAGAAACAAGGGACUAUUAAUGGUGCUGUAAAAAUCCCCGGUAAGACAAUAGAUAGCUGCUCUUGCUGGUUCUGCUCCCCAUGCUCAGACUGCAGCAGGUGAAGGGAUGAGCUGCAAGGAUGAUUCAGAUUGUGGAAAGUCUGUUAUACGAAAGGAGACUAAAAAAAGGAUGGCUUGUUUUAUCUCAUGCAGUGAAUGCUGAGAGAGGACUCCCUAUAAAUACAUCACGGAUGAGCACACAGAAGGGAGAAGCGCUAUUUAAGCAGAAGCACAAUUUUGGCAGGAAAGAAUUAUGUGAAUAAACUGAAUAAGAGUAUAUUAAGGCUGGGAAUAGGAAGAUUUCCACAUUUCCAAGGAGCUGCAGGAGGAUUCUUCCUCCUGCACUCUUACAGUAGUAGAAAUGGUGGCAAAAAAUUAAUUUUGUUAUGGGGCUGUAUCACUUUAUCAUGUAGUUUCUUUUAGAGGGCUGCCUAUGACAGAAGGGAAAUGAAUUGACCUCAAAGGUCCUCUCCAGUACCAGACUGCAUGCAGGACUAUAAGAUUUGUAUUCACCAGCAUUAAAUCAUCAUCUGAAAUUUAUCUACAUGCUGCUCAGCUUACACGCUCACACAUCUUAUUCCCGCAGUUAUAACCCACAUGGAGGGAAGAAAGGACUCAGUUAUGGUUAGUAUUUAGGUGCCUAUGGCAGAUGGAAUGUUCCAAUGUCACCUCAGUACACACAAUUCACAUCCUACCUCAUGCAGUAGAGAAUAGUAAAAUUAACACUUUCUUUAGCCUCAUACACAGUGCAGACAACACUCUCUGACCAAGUGUUCAGCAGAAGUAAACAGAAAUGUGUUUCCCUCCACAGGAGGAUGAGGAGAGGUCUUCAUCCAGUUCUCCUAGACAGGGAAAUGGCUGAUACCAUUUUUGCAAAGAUUUGAUUUUUCAUAGACAUGAGACAAAGCCUUCUGAGCUGAGUUCUGCUCAUGGAAUCCCCCUUGUCAUGCUACUUUUGUUUCAGAGGUUAUUAACACUGCUGCCAAACUACCCUUUCUAACUGAUUAUAAACCAGAGAUUUUAACAUCAAUUUGCACUAUUUUAUGGAAAGCCACCUUGACAGUGCCCAGUGUUUUUCAGGAUUUAUGGUGUAUUUUCAUACAGCUUCUAAUUCAGUUCUCCACAGUGCUGUACAUGUGCAUGUGUUACACAUGUGUUUUAAACCAUGAGCUCACUUCUAACAUACUCUUUUCCUUAGUGACACCAAUUAAGAUAUAACCUUCCAUCUACACUUGUUCUUCAUGGCUCAAAUAAGCUAUGGUUUUUGUUAAAUGGAAGUGAGUUUCUUCUGCCUCAGCCAGUCUGUUGGGCUUUCUCUUCCCCCCCAUCAGUGUUUCCUAAACAUUAAAAGCUAAAUCUUCUGUGGUUAUGCCAAUCAUUUAGUGAUGCAUUGAUCUUGCUAGAGACAAGUAAUAUUCUUUGCAGAAAGGCAGACAUGUAUUGCCCAACAUCACAGCUUUGCUCUGUAGUUAAAAAAGAAUUAAUUUCCUGGGUAUGGGCAAAUUAGCCAACACAGCCAGAAGGCAGGGUUUGGAACAUAUCUGCAAAAGCAUAGACAUCAAUUCACAAUUAGAAAUAUUCAAUCAACUGCAAGAUUUGUUUUCUGGACUUCAGGCAAAGUUUCAAUGAGAUUUGGGCAGUGUAAGAAGAAAGGAAGAGCAGGAGGACGUUUUGGCUUCUGCUCUAAUUAAGGGCUUUUUAUCAUUGCAAACCUGAUUAAGUUUCUCUCAUGAUUAAUUCCCCAGUGCUAAAAUACAAAAAACUGUGUAGAUCUUUGGCAGAGAAAGAUGGCUUGCCAGUUACAAUAACUCCAUGAGGUUUAACAUCUGGAAUAUAUAAGCAAUAAAUAAAUAAAAUAAAUAUAAAUAAAUUGGAUCACUGACACUCCUGUGAAGUGGGGAUCUUUGAAACACUUGGGAUGGACUGUGAGAAAUUAAUGACCUGUAGAUUAGUCUCAUUCAAAGAAAAUCCUCUUUUGGGAGAAAAUUUGAUAAAUUAAACUAACUGUAUCCAAAAUAUCUAGCUAUAAGUCAGAAAGAAAGAGAGAAUGGCAAAAGCUUAAUAGACUGUAGAUGGGUAAAGAAACCAAUGUUUCCAUAUGAUUUACUUCUACAAACAAGAUGAUUCAGAUUUAACAAAGGAUAUUGAAGAUUUUCUUGCCUAAAAUAACUAAGACAGAGAAGUCCUAAUUAGUGCUAAAUUUAUAACACUCAGGAGAUCGUGUUAUUCCUUUUAUUAAUUUGCUAAUAGCUGAGUUCAAGGGACUCCCCGUUCCCACUGUGGUCCCAUUAACACUUCAAACCACUAAUUGCUGCCUCCCCUGGCUGCAGGUUCCUGGAUUCCCAGCUCUUCUCUGGAAAGAAAAUAUAUUUGGCUAUUGAAACACAAGGAAAGGAGGAAACAACAAAAAUCUCACUUUAGAAUAAUACUUUCAAAAAAAUUUGUUAGGAUGGCACCAUAAGCCACCAUCAAUAUUUUGCACACCCGGGGGUUGCUCAGUUUGGGAAUUCUUUGAGAGAUUUUUACCAAAGUUUUUAAUUCAAGUCAACUUUAAAUUAUUAUUCAAAGCAUUAAUCUAUCCAGGAAAGUUCUUACGUAAUAGUGGUGCUUGCAUUCAUCACCUUUUGAGGGCUUCAGCUUGUAUUUGCUGAUUUAUGUGCCCCAAGGGAUUCCCUGUGUCAAGGCACCUCCUCCAUUAAGUGUGGAGGAUUGGAAAAUGUGGUGGGGUGGCCAGAACCCACCCAGCUGCUCUCACUCCCCCUCCUCAACAGGACGGGGGAGAAAAUAAGAUUAAAAAGCUCGUGGGUUGAGUUAAAGAAAAGGAAAUCACUUACCAUUAGAGGAAUUUGAAUUUAAAACAGUGACUGGAAAAGUAAAAGGCAAAGCUCAGACUGGCUAUUGCCAGGGGCUGGAUUACUAGUGGGGAAUUUUUUUUUGGUCUAAAAGGGUGAGAGACGAGGGUGGAGCUGUACUGAGGGUGUACAUUGCCCACCCUGGCGGCGUUGUGGCGUUGCCGCUUCCCUUUUUGGUGUGAGGAGAUUUUUUUUUUUGUGGCUGAUAUCAUCAGUAAAGCUGUGAAGGGUGUGUGGCAAGCGAGUAUUUUAAUGACAAUUAUUAAAUACGCGUUUUGCUGAGGCGAGGAGGGGAAUUUAUUGGGCCCUGGUGCCCAGGCACUGUCAGUGGGGCUGAGGGACCCUCUGAGGGGAGGCCGGGGCGGCCCCAUGAUGGACACAGCUGGUUCCACCACAGCCCCACUCAGGGCACGGCUGAGCUUGUCAUCCACUGCCUCUGGAAGAAAUGCACUUAGGAAAGGACAAAACACUGUCUGGCAGUGACAGCUGAGCUGUGGGGGAUUUAACUACACAGAGUAUAUAGCCACUUGGUCCCGGUGUGAGAGCUGCAAACUGCCGGGAAGAAGGUGUGUGGAAAAAUGAGAAUUCAAGGAACCUGCAACACUUACAAGGAACCAUCUCUGCAACCUGCCAUAGCACCUGUCAGCCCACCCUUUGUGUUCUUCCUGCUUUGACCCCCUGACUGCUGCUUCAUUUAGGUAAGGUACGUGAGGCAGCCUCAGCAGGGACAUGCAGCAUCCAGCCUGAGGUGUCCUCACUGGGGCCUGGCCUUGAAGCCAUACACCUAUGUGAGAUUGUGAGCUGGAUGUGGCACCUGUUUCCCUCCCUCUGCACCUUUUCAGUGCAAUUCAGGCAAAUUACUUUGUAUCUGGCAUUUGGUAUGUUGGUACCACACCCCUUCACGCUCAGCUAUCUGCACUUUUCUUUACAUGCCUGCAGGUCUUCUCCUGGUUAUUCCUUCUCUCCUCUUGUUUGGAGGGUCCCAUAAAUCCCUAUCUGCUCAGGCAGAAGGAUUUGAUUCUGUGACACAGUGCCUGACCUCCUUUGUUACAGCCAUGCAGGCUGAUGAGCCUUCCCUUCAGUGGGCAACAGGCUGGCACAGGCGAGCUAGAUUGGUUGGGGGGUCCUAUAUGACAACAGAGCAGGGGGACAAAAGAGGAAACAAAAGAGCAUUAUUUUUGCACAAAAUGGAUUUGUCAAGAAAAAAAGGAAAUCAAAGAUCCAAAGGGUUGCUAAAGCCAGGAGACUGACUAAUGGAGAAAAGGCACUGGAAUGACUCUUUUAUAAGCAUCAGGCUCGGGACACAUUACUGAUGGGAAAAGCCUCAUGGCUGUAGCUUUAAACCUAUCCUGAGAGGAUUCUGUGAGACAAAGGGCAGCAGUGGCAGCUUAUGCUAAGCUCUGCACUACUUUCACAACUGAGACAUUUUGGAAAUAUGAGCCUUCAUUUUCCAAAUGAGAAAGUGAGAAUUCUUUGCUGCAGAUUUAUUUCCUUUCCCUUCUGUAGGACAAGUGGGAAAUGCCUGGCAUGUCCUUUGACCUCCUAUUUACCACUGAACUCCCAAUCAGCUGUGUUGUAAAAUAAAACAAACCAAGAAUGUGUGCUGUUUCUUCUCAACAUGUCCCAGUCAUGCAGUGGGUGGCAAUGGGUUAAUGCCCAUCAGCUCUGAUGCCUCACACCUGAGAGGCAGAGGCCCAGCUGGCCCUAAGGGAGAGCAGGGAGCACCUGGGGCUUUUUCUAGGGGAGUGGGCUGGAACCUGCUCGUUGGGGUGAAGUGUUGUUAGAGUGGAGAUGUUUAGUUCCUUGGUGGAAACCUCUGUAAAACUUAGCUUGCCUCAGACUGAAGCUGGAUUGCCUGUUUUGGGAGGUGAAGUGUUUGCCUUGGCUGACUUUGGUUGCUUCCCAUGUUUCUCACGGCUGGAAGACUGGAAGUGCUGCUGGAGAUGGACAUAAUAAGGUACUGCUACUUUUUUAUUUCCAAGCGUCCUUGAAAAGUCCUUUUCAUAAAGAUAGUGAACUUUUGCUGCAUCAUUAAGCAAAGCAUGAAAAUAGAGUAGAUUGGCAGUGUUUUCCUGGCAAUGUAAUUGUUCUUUUUAUCCCUUCCUAUAAGGUUAGGUUAUAUAUGAGAACCAGUUUGUAAGGCAAACACCUGAAUGCUUUGGUGAAGAGCUUAGGGGAAUGAAUGCAAAAUGGUGGUCUUCAUCUUGUCUCUUAUUAAGUGCUCAGAUAACUGUUUGACUGAGGCCAAAGACCAUUAGCUGGGACUAAAUCAAUUUACAGGAUUAGGAACUGCUUUUUAGAACAAAAGCACAGGCAGUUGUGUGCCAUAUGGGGGCAACUCUAUCUGGGUGCAACAUCUCCAGGUUCAUUGUCUGAAUGAGAGAAAUAGCUUCACAAGUGGCUGUGGGUUGUGCACAUGUUUUAGGAGGUGCUUAAACACGAGCCUCCCUUUUUUUUUUUUUUUUUUUAAUGUUUUAUUCUUGACCUAAGCAUUUGGCUCUUGUGGAGAGGAAAAUACAGUGUGUGGAAAAAUGAGUCAGCCAGCUUCCUGUGGGAGGGACUGCCGGAGGCACGAUGCUUUGAAUGCUGCAAUAAAUUAGCAGUGGAGAUAACUCAGAGGAC